AACCCAGGAGCCGGUUCCCAGCCUCCAGCCGCGCGCCUGCCGGAAGAGGGGAGAGAAAGGAGGGGUAAAACCCUUCACGCGCCUGCGCUCAGCAGCCUGCCGGCUCAGCCAAGGAGAGCUCUGCCCGCGGCUCACUCCCCACCUACUCGCGUCUCGCGUCUCGCGCCACGCGGACCCCAGAAACCCGGACCCGAGAGCGAACGCGUCGCGCUCCCGCGCAGACUUAAGGUCCCGGGCGGGCGCCUGCGCACGAGCUUCCCAGGCGCGCAAGCUGCGGGGUUAUUAGAGGUGGAGCGCGGGGAGGGCGCGCGGCAGGAGGCGGUCGCCGUUACGGCGCGAGCGUGGUCACGUGGCCGCUGGUCACCGCCGCCACCCCCUCCCGCCCUGUUCUCUUUCAGGUCGGGCCGGGCCCGGCAGGUUCCGCGAGCGCCUGGCAGACUGAGGGAGAGAGAGAGAGAGAAAGAGGAGGGGAGGAGGAGGAUUCAGGGAAUAGGAGCUGGGGAGCCCUUCUGCGCCACAGGGAGAUGCUGUUUUUCCAGCAGCUAAGUUGAGGAAGAACUUAGUUCAUCUCUGUUUCGUGAUUCCUCUUCAAUUUGUUUGCUAACCAAGACUUGUGUUUGGAGAACUCUAUUGUACUGAGCCUAAGUCAUCUUUGAUCUAUAACAAGAAACAUGCAUUUUCACAUGUCAACCAGAUUUGUGGACCAGUAAAGUUCUCCCAAAAGGUAAGCAUAUAUAUAUUUAAAAUAUACAUUUUAAAAUAGAAUAGUCUAAAUACUCUUACCACAAUAAUGUGUUCCAUAGAUAUUUGUGCAAAAAAAAAGAAAAAAAGUAUGUGUGUGUACUUCUGCCAAAUUUAGAUUGAAGACUUCUUCAGGGAAUAGUGUUGCGCCUGCAACACAGUUACUCAGUUUCCUCAUCUGUUUCUGUCUUACCUCCUACUUUCAGUCACCAGUUUCCAUUCUUUUCCCUUUGCUCAUUGUUUUUCUUCUCAGUUGGCUGAAUCUUCCAGGUGUCUUUUAAAAAUGUUUUCCCACCAGCGGAUUUAAGCACUUUCCUUAAGGAACACUUUUUGUAUCCAUAGGCCUUUUAUUUUCUAUUCUCCACCCCACAACAUUUGAUGCAGUUUCUUUUCUGCAUCAAUGAAGCUGCCUUUUCCCUUGUCUCUUCUGUGCUUCUCAUCCCUUUCCCCGUUCAAUAUAAGCGAUCAAAUGACUUAAGAACUGGAUUACUGCUGGGAAACUCCGCAGUCCUUACUGGGUUCUUUUAUAGUAAGAGGUACACAAGUGUUGAGAUCUCAGAAUUUUAAAGAAAAAUAAAUCUUUGAUGUAAUCAUAUCUUUAUAGUAAC
rnacentral:lncRNA from 13 species